rnacentral:lncRNA from 1 species
UAAUCCACGCGCGGAGUCCAGGGUCCCUCUACAGCGGUUUCCCUGGGAACCACUCUGGCUGGAAAUCCUGUGGCUGCCUUUGGAGGAUGUGAACUCUCCUGGGAUGGUAAGAGGCUUUGGACUGUGUAUUGAGGACAAGCAGAACCGACCUGAAAUUCCGCGUCUGUGGAUACCUGAAGCUGGAGUAGGAGGACCAGAAGUGCUCUGCGCUCUGCUAUUAACCCCAUGAAAAGAGUUCUUUCCAGAUAAGCGGAUACUUGCGGCUGCGUGGAGUGGAUCCCAGUCCCAGUUUGCUACCAGCAAUCCCAACCCAAGACACAGAUUUCUGGGUGCUGGUGUGAUGCUAUGUGUCGUGAAAUCCAGCCGAUAGGAGAUCCUUCACACAGUCUCUGUCUUUUCCGCCUCUCCCCUCCCAGUCGCUGUCUCCAGGUGUGCUCUAGCUUCUGUUCCCACCCACCUCUGUGUGAGAUGAGCAUUGUCUGGGAAAGCACACUGUCGUCACCUGCCUCCCCCAUCCCGGUCCCCACCACUCUCUGACUGAUGCCAUCGCCUAGAUGAUAAAGCGCCCGUCACUCAAGCACAGAAGUCGAAAUUCAUAGUUCAUUUCUUUACUUAUGUAAGAUCAUUCACUGACAAAAGAACUCAAAUGGAAAGGCUUUGGGCAUAUGCAGAAACGGGGAGAAAAAAAUAAUCUCUCCGAGUCAGAAGCCUCGGGGGAGCAUAGCAAGACUUAUCAAAGUUACAGUGCUCCAUUUGGAAAGCGCCAACCGCCAGCCCUCGGGCGAGGUGCAGUGGUGCAUAAUUAAUGUAGUCCCAGACACAGGUCACUGAAGUGCCCCACAGGUGUGUGCCUGGUUUUCAAUAAGGCCUUUCCCUCGGAACUCCUCUUCCGACUUUGAGUUUGUGCUCCCGGAAGCCUUGCACGAUCGGGAGAAUUCAGAAGAACGAUCUGAAUGCCCAUCAAUAGAAAAUGGCAAGAAAUUACGGCAGAUCUAGUCUCUGGAAUCCUAGGUAUUUGGGGAAAAGAAGCAAGCUGGGUCCCAAAACACUGAUAUAGAAAAGUGGCUGUAGUUUUUGUUGUUGGUGUUGUUUUGUUUUUGCUUUUCAUCAGGAAGGCAAAUAGAAAAAGGUUCACAAUAUUCCAUUUUUUGCAAGACUUCCAUUUUUCAAGUAAGUCUUUGUCCUGAAGGUCACACCAAUGCCCUCAUUAUAUAUGCCCUUCCUGCAAUAUGUGGCUUUUCUGGGUUUCCUGAGCAGGCUGCAGUUUGAGUUUGAACCCUGGGCCUACAGGUGCACAGAUGCUAUCAGCAUUGAUUUGUCCCUCUCGAGACUUUCCAGAUUUGGAGACGUGCCACGCAGUGGAGCGUGAUGACUGUCCAAGAGCUGUUAAGGAGCUACCUCGUGCCCCCGACCACAACCCCCUGCGCGCGCCCCCUGGCGGGGAAGAGGCUUGGCCCCCAUGGGAUAUCAGAAGCAGGAGAACCCUAAGAAAGCGCCCCUCCCUCUGUGCUUGAGGAGACUACUCCGAAGUGGGAUUUCUUCCCGCAAACUUUUCCAGAAGAAUCCGGCGUGAGAAGUAGACACACCUGCUGAAACCGGCCAGCACAGCUACGCAUCCCAUCACUUCAUUGUUUCUGGAUUAACUUCCGGUUGUUUUGUUUUAUUUAACUUUCUCCUUCACCAGCCUUGCUUGCUUUUCCCAAAUAAAGUGGACCCCGAU